rnacentral:rRNA from 1 species
UCUGGGAAACUGCCUGAUGGAGGGGGAUAACUACUGGAAACGGUAGCUAAUACCGCAUAACGUCGCAAGACCAAAAAGGGGGACCUUCGGGCCUCUUGCCAUCGGAUGUGCCCAGAUGGGAUUAGCUAGUAGGUGGGGUAACGGCUCACCUAGGCGACGAUCCCUAGCUGGUCUGAGAGGAUGACCAGCCACACUGGAACUGAGACACGGUCCAGACUCCUACGGGAGGCAGCAGUGGGGAAUAUUGCACAAUGGGCGCAAGCCUGAUGCAGCCAUGCCGCGUGUAUGAAGAAGGCCUUCGGGUUGUAAAGUACUUUCAGCGGGGAGGAAGGGAGUAAAGUUAAUACCUUUGCUCAUUGACGUUACCCGCAGAAGAAGCACCGGCUAACUCCGUGCCAGCAGCCGCGGUAAUACGGAGGGUGCAAGCGUUAAUCGGAAUUACUGGGCGUAAAGCGCACGCAGGCGGUUUGUUAAGUCAGAUGUGAAAUCCCCGGGCUCAACCUGGGAACUGCAUCUGAUACUGGCAAGCUUGAGUCUCGUAGAGGGGGGUAGAAUUCCAGGUGUAGCGGUGAAAUGCGUAGAGAUCU